GAUGGUCAUAUACCCAAGGAAAUAAAAGAAUCGGUUACAUUUUUCAUAUGAUCUCCUAUUUUAUUUUAGAUAGACUAAAAAAAAAGAACUCGGUUCUUUCUUUUUGUAUUAUAUCGCUUUGACUCCUUUUCCAUUUAUUCUAUUCUAUUUAUAUUAUUCUAAUUAUUCUAAUUCUAUGUAUUUCUUUUUUUGUUUUAAUAAAUUAUUAAAUUUAUUAUAAAAUUAUUCAUUAUUAUGAUUAUGAAUUUUCAUUUACCUAUGUCUAAACGGAGUUAAAAAUAUAUUCUAUUUAUCUAGCUAGAAAUGUAUUUUUUUUUUUUCAAUUGAAAAUUCCCAAUAAUAAUAAUUCUUAUUAGAAUUAGGGGGCAGGUUUCAUGUCAAUGGCAAAAUACCUCAUUUGUUGCAACACUCCUUUAAACAAUAAAUAAGAAAUAAGUAAACAAGAAAUUAAGAAAUAAGGGGGUUCUCUUGAACUAAGAAGGGGAAGG
rnacentral:lncRNA from 1 species